rnacentral:rRNA from 1 species
UACGUAGGGGGCAAGCGUUGUCCGGAAUUAUUGGGCGUAAAGCGCGCGCAGGCGGCUCUUUAAGUCUGGUGUUUAAUCCCGAGGCUCAACUUCGGGUCGCACUGGAAACUGGAGAGCUUGAGUGCAGAAGAGGAGAGUGGAAUUCCACGUGUAGCGGUGAAAUGCGUAGAGAUGUGGAGGAACACCAGUGGCGAAGGCGACUCUCUGGGCUGUAACUGACGCUGAGGCGCGAAAGCGUGGGGAGCGAACAGG